rnacentral:rRNA from 1 species
AGGACGAACGCUGGCGGCGUGCUUAACACAUGCAAGUCGAACGGUAAGGCCCUUUCGGGGGUACACGAGUGGCGAACGGGUGAGUAACACGUGAGUAACCUGCCCUUGACUCUGGGAUAACAGUUGGAAACAGCUGCUAAUACCGGAUAUUCAACCCUUGGGGCAUCUUGGGGGUUGGAAAGUUCUGGCGGUCAAGGAUGGACUCGCGGCCUAUCAGCUUGUUGGUGAGGUAAUGGCUCACCAAGGCGUCGACGGGUAGCC